GCUUGAAUCUGUGAUUUUAUGUCAGAAUCAGAUCUUUUUUUUCUUUCAAGGCCUUGAACAGGAUCCUUGAAUUACAGCACUGGUCCUGCUGGGUUUAGCAGUUAGUGGGAUUAUGCAUCAGCCUUUAAUGCCUGAUAUUAACACAGAAAUGAGGCUGAACAACCAUCAGCUCAAGUUUGGGUGUUUUUUCCUCCAUCCACAGCUCCUCCUGCAGAGAUCCAUCCUGCUGCUGUCCGUGCGUCACUUGGAAGGUCGGCAGAUGCUGAUGCUGGACCGGACAGGAUGAGAGGACCUGAUCAGGAUGCAGAUUGUGUCUCCGUGAAGAGACCGGAUGAGGUCAUUUAUGGACCAGUCAGCAUCAGGACCAACAUCAGGAGAGAGUUUCCUUCAGAACCAGACCCGCAGGUCAUCUACUCUCUUCUGAAGUCCAGCGUUGCACACCAGUCCAACCAGUCUAACCAGUCCAACCAGUCCGACCAGUGACAUCCAGCUGGCUGCUAGCAGGACCUCCAUUACUUCAGUCCCACACAGUGUUCACUCCUCUACAGAAGAAGAAGCAGCUGCAGCUGCACGACUCUGCUCAGGUCCUCUUGCAGCAGAUCAUCAAGCUCACAUGGAGGGAAGUUUCUUUAACUCUGGAAAAACUGAGUUUUUAUCUCUGAUGAGGAUUUUUAUGGCUCUUUGUCAUCAUGUCCUCUAACAGGUUCAUGAGGGAGGUUUUCGAUAAAGCUGCAUCAUCAUUUAGAUUCUUCCUGAAAGUGUUUUUUCAUUUUAAUGGAAGUCUGAAACUGUGAUUAAGAUGAACAGUUGCUGUGCAUCAUCUGAGCCAGCAGGGGGCAGCAGAGGAGCUUCAGUUUGUCCAGCAGUCAUGUCGCUUUUCCCUCCGAUCAUCACUGCUGGUAAACCGGAGAGUUCAGACAUUUAACCGACACAUGGGCCAGUAAAGACUUUACCAUCAACACAACCUACUGGGUUACGUUGUUUUAUAGUCUACUGGGUCCUUGCUGGAAAUAUCAGUGCACGUGUUACUGGUGGAGAGUCGGUGAAGACGGCACAGAGCACAAAGGAAAAAGUUUCAGGCUUCCACAAAGACAGAAAGAAAAAGAAAACACAUUCAGGAAGAAUCUGAAUGAUGAUGCAGCUUCAUCGUAAACCUCCAUCAGGUCGUAGAACAACAUGCCAACAUUGUCCCCGUUUCAAGCAGAACUAGAGACGUCUCGGAAAAGAACAUGUAGGUCCAGUUUGACACCAUCUGGUCUCAGCGUCCCCACCUAGGAGACUUCAGGCUUUAAAAGGUUAAAUGUUCAGCAUUUUAAACAAAAACUUCAUGUGGAAACAUUAUGGAGAGCCGUUUAUUCAUGAUGACAUAAAUACUGAAAUUAAUACAUUUUCCAUCAAAUACAAAAGAAAGAAAUAAAAUGUACAAUUUCCAGUAAUUAACUUAUUUAAUUUAUUUAGUACAUUAAUUUAUAUAUUACCACUUUUCUUUAUUUCUACUUUUAUUUCUAUAUAUGACCUUUCUCAGUGAGGUCACACUGGUUGUUUACGCCGCCAUGUUGGCUGGUGAGAAGCUAGCAGGUGUGAUCUUCUACCAGAAAGUGAUGAGACGGUCGCGCUGGUUAGC